rnacentral:rRNA from 1 species
AAUCAACGCUGGCGGCGUGCCUCAGACAUGCAAGUCGAACGAUUAAGACUUCCUUCGGGAAGUGUAUAAAGUGGCGCACGGGUGAGUAACACGUAAGUAAUCUACCCUCGAGUGGGGAAUAACAUCGGGAAACCGAUGCUAAUACCGCAUAACGCAGCGGCACCGCAAGGUGACAGUUGUUAAAGGAGCAUUCCGCUUGAGGAGGAGCUUGCGGCAGAUUAGCUAGUUGGUGAGGUAAUGGCUCACCAAGGCGACGAUCUGUAUCCGGCCUGAGAGG